UGAUGACGGUGACGAUGAUGAUGACGAUGACGAUGAUGAUGGCGAUGAUGAUGAUGAUUGUCAUCAUCAUCAUCAUCAUCAUCAUCAUCGCCAUCA
rnacentral:pre_miRNA from 1 species